rnacentral:rRNA from 1 species
CCUACGGGAGGCAGCAGUGGGGAAUUUUGGACAAUGGGCGCAAGCCUGAUCCAGCAAUGCCGCGUGAGUGAAGAAGGCCUUCGGGUUGUAAAGCUCUUUUGUCAGGGAAGAAACGGCUGAGGCUAAUAUCCUCGGCUAAUGACGGUACCUGAAGAAUAAGCACCGGCUAACUACGUGCCAGCAGCCGCGGUAAUACGUAGGGUGCAAGCGUUAAUCGGAAUUACUGGGCGUAAAGCGUGCGCAGGCGGUUUUGUAAGUCUGUCGUGAAAGCCCCGGGCUUAACCUGGGAAUUGCGAUGGAGACUGCAAGGCUUGAAUCUGGCAGAGGGGGGUAGAAUUUCACGUGUAGCAGUGAAAUGCGUAGAGAUGUGGAGGAACACCGAUGGCGAAGGCAGCCCCCUGGGUCAAGAUUGACGCUCAUGCACGAAAGCGUGGGGAGCAAACAGGAUUAGAUACCCUGGUAGUCCACGCCCUAAACGAUGUCUACUAGUUGUCGGGUCUUAAUUGACUUGGUAACGCAGCUAACGCGUGAAGUAGACCGCCUGGGGAGUACGGUCGCAAGNUUAAAAACUCAAAAUGAGUAGAGNGNGAGAGAGCGAGACGACGACGAGGGAGGAGG